CUAAACUAAUAAUUCUAAUUCAAUUGAACAUUCCAAAUUCAAUUAAAAUGUUAACACUAUUACUUGAGUUAAUAAAUAUAACAAACCGAUUCCAUUAGUUUUUUUUACUUGUUCAACCUAUUUCGAUUUUUGAUUCAAUGGUGGUUCUAAAUAAUUCGCUCAAAUUCAAUGUUUUCGUCAGAAUUAAUACAUUUAUCAAUUCUCAAUUCAACCGAUCAUAUUAAUCGAUCUAAUUCGAUUCCAACAAGAUUAUUGCUUUGAAAUCAACAACCACAUGGAACAAAACAUGCUGCAAUCACCAAAUACAAUUUCACAUUCCAACUUUGCAACUCCUGGUCAAAGUAGUUAAUCUUCCCACGUUGACACCUACCUAUAUACAACAAGCUGAGACAAAACAUAAGCCAUAUUCAAACCCCAAAAUAAAAUCCUUAAUAUCCGCAACCCUCUAUUAAAAUAAUCUGUAAUAGGUCAAUUUUGGCCCAACAGAAAAACAAAUAAAAUAAAUAAAACCCAAAUUUUAAUAGUCCAAGUCCCUUUGUUACAACAGAUCCAAAAACAGUUCAUGACCCAACAAUAAAUAAAACCAGACCCAACUUAAGACCUAGCCCAAAAAAUACAAGGCCCAAAUGGCCCAAGAUAAGGAACAGAAACCCUAAGGUUUCUUCCCCUUGCGCCAUAGCCUACUAGCCUGGAAGCAAGCCUCCACGUCACCACGAACGGCCUCUUCCUCCGUACGGCCAUCUCCGCAAUAGAACCUACGAGAAGAAACAGCUAUAAAUUUUUAUGCACACAAAUCAAUAGAAAAAAAUCUAAUACAAAAGAAAUUUUUGAAAGGUGAUUUACUUUUCCUUUUUUUAAAUUUGUUAUAGUAUUUUGUUUUUUUUCUUCACUGCCCUUCAGGCUUUUAUUUUUUUCUUUUCAUUUGCAAAGAAGAAAACAAAAAAGGAAAGGGAUAAAGGGGAAAGGCUCACCUGAAUCGUUGGUACACCGUCAGAGUUUCUCCUCCGUUAAAGCCCAAAUCCAACAGAGGUUGAGACUUCCUUCUUUUGAUUCCUUGAAGUUAGAGGUGCUAGAACGUUGAACGCGGCUUUAAACGAGUUUGAGUGGGGUGGUCUACCCUCCGUCGGCCACCGUUUGUGGCGGUUGUAUGGCGGCUAGGGUUUGAUCUUUUGAGGAUAGUAAAAUGAGGGUUAAAGAGUGGGGGUUAGGGAUUUGUUUCAAUUUUUGUAGAAAAUGGCAGAUUGUCAUUCAAAUGGUUUUUUUAGUUUUAAUAAUAAAUAAAACAGAGUCGUUUAAUCCUUGGAACCCACGUACCGAAACGGCACCAUUUCGUGCUGACCCUCGCGCAAAUCGACCCGACGCGGGGAGGAUCCGCACAUUUAACUGAUUUUGGUAAUUGCGCAUUUGGUUCCUCUUUGUUUUGUCGUCAUCUGAUUGAGUCCUAUUUAUAUUUCUUUUGUAUUUCUUAAAUUUGUCCUGAAAUUUAUGCGCUGUUUUAAUUGAAUCCAUUCUUAAAUGAUGCGUUUAGGAGUUUGGGAUAAUUUCAUCUUUAAUCCCAAUUGGUUUGCGCGCGUCGUAUUUUGGUGCUCGAUGUUGUUUUAAUAGCUUUAUUUGUUUAUAAAUUGUCCUUUUGAUUUUAUUUUUAUUUCAAUUGAUUUUGCAUUGUUCUAGUUUGUUAUUUUAUACUUUCAUUUAUUUUUUUAUUUUUUUAUUUUACAAUUUAUUUAUUUAAAAAUCCUCUUUUAUAUAUUUCUAAGCUUUAAAGAUUUACACGAUAUUUAUUUUAAUAUUAUUAUACAUAAAUAUACGUUUAUAUUAAAUUAUUUUUAUAGAUUUCAUAUUAUUUUAUGUAAAUAUUUUCUUUUAAAUCUAUUUAUGUAUAUAUACAUAUAUUUUUUUUUCUUUUAAAACUAUUUAUAUACCAUCUGUUUCUUUUAAGAACCCAAUUUUAAAUUAUAUUUUGUUUAUUUCAAACACUUUCUUAUAUUACUAUUCUUUUAGAUAUACAUUAUCUAUAUUAAGUUUUUCACUUUAUGUAUAUUAUUAAUUAUUGAUUAAUAAAUUUUGUUUCAAAUUAUUCUGUAUGACCAUUUGAUUUCAUAUUAUAUAGAUUGUUAUUCAUAUAUAUAUUCUUUUGUAUAUUUUUAUAUGGUUGUAUUUAUAUAAUUUAUUUAUUUU
rnacentral:lncRNA from 1 species